CGCUGGCGGCGUGCCUAAUACAUGCAAGUCGAGCGAACAGACGAGGAGCUUGCUCCUUUGACGUUAGCGGCGGACGGGUGAGUAACACGUAGGUAACCUACCUAUAAGACUGGGAUAACUUCGGGAAACCGGAGCUAAUACCGGAUAAUAUUUCGAACCGCAUGGUUCGAUAGUGAAAGAUGGCUUUGCUAUCACUUAUAGAUGGACCUGCGCCGUAUUAGCUAGUUGGUAAGGUAACGGCUUACCAAGGCAACGAUACGUAGCCGACCUGAGAGGGUGAUCGGCCACACUGGAACUGAGACACGGUCCAGACUCCUACGGGAGGCAGCAGUAGGGAAUCUUCCGCAAUGGGCGAAAGCCUGACGGAGCAACGCCGCGUGAGUGAUGAAGGUCUUCGGAUCGUAAAACUCUGUUAUUAGGGAAGAACAAACGUGUAAGUAACUGUGCACGUCUUGACGGUACCUAAUCAGAAAGCCACGGCUAACUACGUGCCAGCAGCCGCGGUAAUACGUAGGUGGCAAGCGUUAUCCGGAAUUAUUGGGCGUAAAGCGCGCGUAGGCGGUUUUUUAAGUCUGAUGUGAAAGCCCACGGCUCAACCGUGGAGGGUCAUUGGAAACUGGAAAACUUGAGUGCAGAAGAGGAAAGUGGAAUUCCAUGUGUAGCGGUGAAAUGCGCAGAGAUAUGGAGGAACACCAGUGGCGAAGGCGACUUUCUGGUCUGUAACUGACGCUGAUGUGCGAAAGCGUGGGGAUCAAACAGGAUUAGAUACCCUGGUAGUCCACGCCGUAAACGAUGAGUGCUAAGUGUUAGGGGGUUUCCGCCCCUUAGUGCUGCAGCUAACGCAUUAAGCACUCCGCCUGGGGAGUACGACCGCAAGGUUGAAACUCAAAGGAAUUGACGGGGACCCGCACAAGCGGUGGAGCAUGUGGUUUAAUUCGAA
rnacentral:rRNA from 1 species